rnacentral:rRNA from 1 species
AUUGAACGCUGGCGGCAGGCUUAACACAUGCAAGUCGAGCGGGGGAAGGUAGCUUGCUACCGGACCUAGCGGCGGACGGGUGAGUAAUGCUUAGGAAUCUGCCUAUUAGUGGGGGACAACAUCUCGAAAGGGAUGCUAAUACCGCAUACGUCCUACGGGAGAAAGCAGGGGAUCUUUGGACCUUGCGCUAAUAGAUGAGCCUAAGUCGGAUUAGCUAGUUGGUGGGGUAAAGGCCUACCAAGGCGACGAUCUGUAGCGGGUCUGAGAGGAUGAUCCGCCACACUGGGACUGAGACACGGCCCAGACUCCUACGGGAGGCAGCAGUGGGGAAUAUUGGACAAUGGGGGGAACCCUGAUCCAGCCAUGCCGCGUGUGUGAAGAAGGCCUUAUGGUUGUAAAGCACUUUAAGCGAGGAGGAGGCUACUUUAGUUAAUACCUAGAGAUAGUGGACGUUACUCGCAGAAUAAGCACCGGCUAGCUCUGUGCCAGCCGCCGCAGUAA